ACGGGGGGAGCAAACGUUGUUCGGAAUCACUGGGCGUAAAGGGCGCGUAGGCGGCUUUGCAAGUUAGAGGUGAAAGCCCGGAGCUCAACUCCGGAAUUGCCUUUAAAACUGCAUCGCUAGAAUUGUGGAGAGGUGAGUGGAAUUCCGAGUGUAGAGGUGAAAUUCGUAGAUAUUCGGAAGAACACCAGUGGCGAAGGCGACUCACUGGACACAUAUUGACGCUGAGGUGCGAAAGCGUGGGGAGCAAACAGGA
rnacentral:rRNA from 1 species